rnacentral:rRNA from 1 species
AUUGAACGCUGGCGGCAGGCUUAACACAUGCAAGUCGAGCGAGCGGCGGACGGGUGAGUAAUGUCUGGGAAACUGCCUGAUGGAGGGGGAUCACUACUGGAAACGGUAGCUAAUACCGCAUACCCUCAGAUGUGCCCAGCUGGGAUUAGCUAGUUGGUGGGGUAAUGGGUCACCUAGGCGACGAUCCCUAGCUGGUCUGAGAGGAUGACCAGCCACACUGGAACUGAGACACGGUCCAGACGCCUACGGGAGGCAGCAGUGGGGAAUAGUGCACAAUGGGCGAAAGCCUGAUGCAGCCAUGCCGCGUGUAUGAAGAAGGCCGUCGGGUUGUAAAGUACUUUCAGCGGGGAGGCGUUACCCGAAGAAGAAGCACCGGCUAACUCCGUGCCAGCAGCCGCGGUAAUUC